AAAAUUUCCUGCACCAACAGGAAAUUUUACUACCCUACUGAUCUUAGAAGUUGAGUCUUCAUCAUUAUAGGAGAACUUUUAGGUUACAGCCUGAAUGGAUGAUUGAGCACUCAGGGAAGGGGUAUGAUUGACCCAGGAAACACAGUGCAAUUUGCGUGUGCUUCCUACAUGACCAGAAAGGGUGGACCCAGGGCUCCUCCCACCCCUUGGGCUCAUUUAAGGGUUAGCCUCUGAAAGGAGAAUGUCUUCUGAGUGAAGGUUAUUUUCUGAGAAGGAGUGCUUUACAGCCAGAGGUCCUCAUCACGAGCUAGAACUAAGACAUGUUCCACUGUUGCAUGUGUCCCUCUGAUAGGAAGAACGAGGUGUCUGACAAACUAGGGUAAGUCCUUCUAAUGUCCUCUUGUAUGGUCAAGGGGCUGCAGCACAUGGUGUAUGAGGUGAGGCUCAGGACAUCCACACAGAGAAGAG
ensembl:lncRNA